AUGGCCGUGAAGCUCGGAUCACUCUCCUUAUCUUUCUGUAAUCGCAGUAUAAAUAACAGAGAAGAGAAACGAGAAAAGUUGCAGGUUGAACGCAACACAAAAAACCUAGUCUUCUCUCUGAAUCCAAACGAUCUUGCUGCCGCUGUCCGACAAGGGAGUGGCGGCGACGAAAACCCUAGAUGUGCGUGCUGGCAGAGCUUCUCUCGUGCGCGUGGAAGUAAUUUAGCAACACCUUUCCCACAGGAUCUCUUGCAAGAAGAAAAUAAUCUCCAAAUUCAACUUGUCAAUUUUAUUUCUCAUGAAAAUAGCAAGUUAACUCAAAGAAUUUAUCACACAAAUAGUCAAUUUGUUAGAACUUGCUUAGUACUGAAUUGGCAAUCUUUACCUAAUAAUAAAGAGAAUUGGGUUUCUGCCCGUACGUCAUAA
rnacentral:rRNA from 1 species